GUGUCAGCAGCCGCGGUAAUACGGAGGAUGCGAGCGUUAUCCGGAUUUAUUGGGUUUAAAGGGUGCGCAGGCGGCGCGCCAAGUCAGCGGUCAAAGUUCCGGGCUCAACCCGGUGUCGCCGUUGAAACUGGCGUGCUCGAGUGCGUGCGAGGAAGGCGGAAUGCGUUGUGUAGCGGUGAAAUGCAUAGAUAUGACGCAGAACUCCGAUUGCGAAGGCAGCUUUCCAGCGCGCUACUGACGCUGAGGCACGAAAGCGUGGGGAUCGAACAGGAUUAGAUACCCUGGUAGUCCACGCAGUAAACGAUGACUACUAGCUUUCCGGGAUGAUUGAGUCCUGGGAGGCACAGCGAAAGCGUUAAGUAGUCCACCUGGGGAGUACGCCGGCAACGGUGAA
rnacentral:rRNA from 1 species